rnacentral:rRNA from 1 species
UACGUAGGGGGCAAGCGUUGUCCGGAAUUAUUGGGCGUAAAGCGCGCGCAGGCGGUCUCCUAAGUCUGAUGUGAAAGCCCACGGCUCAACCGUGGAGGGUCAUUGGAAACUGGGAGACUUGAGUGUAGGAGAGGAAAGCGGAAUUCCACGUGUAGCGGUGAAAUGCGUAGAGAUGUGGAGGAACACCAGUGGCGAAGGCGGCUUUCUGGCCUAUAACUGACGCUGAGGCGCGAAAGCGUGGGGAGCAAACAGG